rnacentral:rRNA from 1 species
AGCAAAUAGAUACCCUGGUAGUCCACGCCCUAAACGAUGGAUACUAGGCGUAAGAGGUAUCGACCCCUCUUGUGCCGCAGCUAACGCACUAAGUAUCCCGCCUGGGGAGUACGGCCGCAAGGUUGAAACUCAAAUGAAUUGACGGGGACCCGCACAAGCGGUGGAGCAUGUGGAUUAAUUCGAUACUAACCGAAGAACCUUACCCAGACUUGACAUCGAUCGCAAGCUCUAGAAAUAGGGCCCUCCCCACAAGGGGACGUGAAGACACUUGUUGCAUGGCUGUCGUCAGCUCGUGCCGUGAGGUGUACGGUUAAGUCCGCCAACGAGCGCAACCCUCGUCCUGUGUUACCAGCAUGAAAGAUGGGAACUCACAGGAGACCGCCGGUGUAAGCCGGAGGAAGGUGGGGAUGACGUCAAGUCAGCAUGGCAGUUACGUCUGGGGCUUCACACAUGCUACAAUGGGCGAAACAAAGGGCCGCGAUACCGUGAGGUGGAGCCAAUCCCAAAAAUACGCCCCAGUUCAGAUUGCAGUCU